rnacentral:rRNA from 1 species
UACGAGGGGGGCGAGCGUUGUUCGGAAUUAUUGGGCGUAAAGGGUGCGUAGGCGGUUUGGUAAGUCUGAUGUGAAAUCUAUGGGCUGCAACUCAUAGUCUGCAUCGGAAACUGCCGGGCUUGAGUGUGGGAGAGGUGAGUGGAAUUCCUGGUGUAGCGGUGAAAUGCGUAGAUAUCAGGAGGAACACCUGUGGCGAAAGCGGCUCACUGGACCAUAACUGACGCUGAUGCACGAAAAGCGUGGGUAGCAAACAGG